rnacentral:sRNA from 1 species
ACGAUUGUUUACUAGGGUUCCGCCGAUACGAUAUGGAUGAUCGGGCUGGUCCGAGAGUAAACCACUCUUGUGAAAGAGUGACACGGAAGGAUAAAAACCUGGGAGAU